GACGAACGCUGGCGGCGUGCUUAACACAUGCAAGUCGAGCGGUAAGGCCCUUUCGGGGGUACACGAGCGGCGAACGGGUGAGUAACACGUGGGUGACCUGCCCUCAGCUCUGGGAUAAGCCUGGGAAACCGGGUCUAAUACCGGAUAUGACCCCAUGACGCGUGUUGUGGGGUGGAAAGCCUUGUGCGGCUGAGGAUGGGCCCGCGGCCUAUCAGCUUGUUGGUGGGGUGAUGGCCUACCAAGGCGACGACGGGUAGCCGGCCUGAGAGGGCGACCGGCCACACUGGGACUGAGACACGGCCCAGACUCCUACGGGAGGCAGCAGUGGGGAAUCUUGCGCAAUGGGCGAAAGCCUGACGCAGCGACGCCGCGUGAGGGAUGACGGCCU
rnacentral:rRNA from 1 species